GUGCUUUUGGCAGCAACACAGACCAAAUUGGGACAAUACAGAGAAGAUUAGCAUGGCCUGGCAAGAAUGAUUACCGCAAAUUUGUGAAGCAUUCCAUAUUUUA
rnacentral:snRNA from 1 species